CAGUGGGGAAUAUUGCACAAUGGGCGCAAGCCUGAUGCAGCCAUGCCGCGUGUAUGAAGAAGGCCUUCGGGUUGUAAAGUACUUUCAGCAGUGAGGAAGGUGGGUAUGUUAAUAGCAUAUUCAUUUGACGUUAGCUGCAGAAGAAGCACCGGCUAACUCCGUGCCAGCAGCCGCGGUAAUACGGAGGGUGCGAGCGUUAAUCGGAAUUACUGGGCGUAAAGCGCAUGCAGGUGGUUUGUUAAGUCAGAUGUGAAAGCCCGGGGCUCAACCUCGGAAUUGCAUUUGAAACUGGCAAACUAGAGUACUGUAGAGGGGGUAGAAUUUCAGGUGUAGCGGUGAAAUGCGUAGAGAUCUGAAGGAAUACCGGUGGCGAAGGCGGCCCCCUGGACAGAUACUGACACUCAGAUGCGAAAGCGUGGGGAGCAAACAGGAUUAGAUACCCUGGUAG
rnacentral:rRNA from 1 species